rnacentral:tRNA from 1 species
GGUGGGGUGCGUGAGUGGUUGAAACGGACGGUCUUGAAAACCGUUAGGGUUAAUAGCCCUCGUGGGUUCGAAUCCCACCCCCACCGCCA